CCUACGGGAGGCAGCAGGGGGGAAUAUUGCACAAUGGGGGAAACCCUGAUGCAGCGACGCCGCGUGAGUGAAGAAGUAUUUCGGUACGUAAAGCUCUAUCAGCAGGGAAGAAAAUGACGGUACCUGACUAAGAAGCCCCGGCUAACUACGUGCCAGCAGCCGCGGUAAUACGUAGGGGGCAAGCGUUAUCCGGAUUUACUGGGUGUAAAGGGAGCGUAGACGGCAGCGCAAGUCUGGAGUGAAAUCCCAUGGCUUAACCAUGGAACUGCUUUGGAAACUGUGCAGCUAGAGUGCAGGAGAGGUAAGCGGAAGUCCUAGUGUAGCGGUGAAAUGCGUAGAUAUUAGGAGGAACACCAGUGGCGAAGACGGCUUACUGGACUGUAACUGACGUUGAGGCUCGAAAGCGUGGGGAGCAAACAGGAUUAGAUACCCGGGUAGUC
rnacentral:rRNA from 1 species